AUCUAAAACUUGAAAAUAUAGAAUUUCAAAUCUAAAAUACAAAAAAAGAAGGAAUUUGGAAAGAAAGAAGAAAUAAAUUGAAUAAACAAUAAAAACAAUUAAAGUAGAAUAUGAUGAAGCAAAGCACUUUAUAAACUUAUAUGUAAAAAAAUCCAAAAAAUUAACUAAGUGUACAACACAAGUUCAUUUCCAAGGAGCUCAUAAAGCAAUUCUAUCUUUCAUAUAGUUGUCAAAGAUUUAAAAAGUCAAGUCAGCUCUCCACUAGUACUAAAUCAUAUCAUUGCUUGCAUUCACUUAAAAAAUCAUCUUUCAUCAACAUCUUAUUCCCACUUCAAUCACCUCUCUCAAAUCCAAUGGUUCAACCUUCCACCUCUCUUUUAUGCUUUUUAGUUUUGAACUUGGUCUCUAUAUUUUUAGUUUUUCCAUCUUAUUUCUAAUUGUUAUUGUCUACUACGUAGUUCUAUCCCUCUUCACCUCCACUCCCUUAAAUCAUAUUCACUACUUCAUCUUCCAAAAGCAAAUAAAUAAACACAUCCCAUCAUACACCUCUAAUAUAUUGGAUGCCUACCAUUCUACCAUCCAUCUCACUAUCCUCCACACUUCUCAUUCUCCAUCUGUCCUACAUCCUUACGAUGCACCACUACCACAUUCUUACUGAGUUGGAAGAACUUGCAAUACAGCCUAUGUAAGAACUAGUUUCUAAAAUCCUCCA
rnacentral:lncRNA from 1 species